rnacentral:rRNA from 1 species
GUGGGGUAAUUUUUCCGCAAUGGGCGAAAGCCUGACGGAGCAAUGCCGCGUGGAGGUGGAAGGCCUACGGGUCGUCAACUUCUUUUCUCGGAGAAGAAACAAUGACGGUAUCUGAGGAAUAAGCAUCGGCUAACUCUGUGCCAG